rnacentral:misc_RNA from 1 species
UAAUAAGUGUUUUAUGGCACUUUUUAAAUCCAUAUCCACCUUGUGUGCAAUGUCAGUCGAUCUUCUUCAUGGAGAUCGACCAAACAUCAACCUUUAUUUUUAACUCCUUUGUCUGAAAAAUAUUAUGAAUAAACAAUUCAAAAUA